AGUGAACGCUGGCGGUAGGCCUAACACAUGCAAGUCGAACGGCAGCACAGUAAGAGCUUGCUCUUACGGGUGGCGAGUGGCGGACGGGUGAGGAAUACAUCGGAAUCUACUUUUUCGUGGGGGAUAACGUAGGGAAACUUACGCUAAUACCGCAUACGACCUACGGGUGAAAGCAGGGGAUCUUCGGACCUUGCGCGAUUGAAUGAGCCGAUGUCGGAUUAGCUAGUUGGCGGGGUAAAGGCCCACCAAGGCGACGAUCCGUAGCUGGUCUGAGAGGAUGAUCAGCCACCCUGGAACUGAGACACGGUCCAGACUCCUACGGGAGGCAGCAGUGGGGAAUAUUGGGCAAUGGGCGCAAGCCUGAUUCAGCCAUACCGCGUGGGUGAAGAAGGCCUUCGGGUUGUAAAGCCCUUUUGUUGGGAAAGAAAAGCAGCAGGUUAAUACCCCGCUGUUCUGACGGUACCCAAAGAAUAAGCACCGGCUAACUUCGUG
rnacentral:rRNA from 1 species